AUUUACAUGCAAACUGAGGAUACUGCAGACAGUACCUGGAGAAAUCAAAACAUUUGAAAUGAUGCAACAGCUGUCCAUGAAUAUCUAUGGUUGCAAUGUUGAGCUUGGACUCAGUAUUCAGUGCAUGGGUCGUCUGGGCCUUUGCAAAUAUAUAGGGAAGGUGGAUUAUGAUAAAUCAUCAUAGUGUAGGCAGUUGAUGCCAAUGCUGGAAUAUCAGCUUCCUCUCCAGAAUUCUCUGCCAUUGAAUCAGCCCUCUCGAUAGGAAUGCCCUCUGUCUGACAGACAGGCCCAGUGUCCAGCAGAAAGCUCUGCCUGCAUCCAAAUCUCUCGGCUGGCUUUGAAUUGGCCUCUUUGUCCGUCCCUGCAGAUCCAAAUCAUCAAGGCCA